UGAGGAGGCACAUCUCUGCACCUGCUGACAUAAUCAGCACAAAGACCUGGAUGACACAGCCCGGGAAGGAAAUGGAGCUGCUCUGCCUCAGAGAGUUGGCCCUUUAAGUCAAUCUCUCCGCGACGUUGUGGGGACGGAGGCGUCACUGCUGCUCUUUCCUGUAGUCGGGCACGGCAUGACAAAGGCUGCUCUGGUGAGGCGUGUUUGGAGACACCAUGUCCUGCUGCAGAGAGGACGCAUGAGGGGGGAACCCCACCCAGCUCAUGUUCUCAGGGUGGGUGAGCAGCCGGAAGACACCAGCAUUUACAGCACAGAAGCUGCCCGAGAAUAAAAUUUACACAUAUUGCCAUGCUUCACUUUACAUGAUGUAAAAAGUGACAUAAUCCCCGACGUACCAGAAAGUGGGGGAGAAGACCUUGUGCACGACAUCCACAAACAACCUGGGAAACUACAGGAACCCCUAAAAAUAAACACAA